UGGAUCACUGAUGACCACUGUGGCAUAUGAGUCAUGGAUUGUGACUAUAGAUCUGGAAGCCUGAGGUCCAC
rnacentral:snoRNA from 1 species